rnacentral:lncRNA from 10 species
CAAACUCAGUUUGCAGGAAGGAGCAUAGGAGAAUAAAGGAUGGAACAAAGAAGAAAAAGAACAGCAAGUUACUCUGAGUAUUGUGGAAACAAACUGAAAUUAGAGUGAGAGAGAGAGAGAAAAAAAAAGAAGGUCCGAGCAAUCUCAGAUAUAUGAGAGGCCAAGAUGGGAAGAUCACUUGGGUAAGACUGGGAAGAUUGAGUCUGCAGUGAGUCACAGUCGCAUCAUUCUGCUGGAUUUGAAUGGUACUGCUUCUGGCCCAAGUUGUCUGGGCAACCUUAGACAUGGUAAGGCAAGAGCCAUCUGAUCAACAUUAGACAUGGCAAGGUGAAAGCCAUCUGGUCGACAGGGAUUCUAAUAGAAGACACUCUGGGCCGAUGGCAGACGUCUAAUAAUAGAGACAAAGGGUGAGCCCGGACAUUUUAAUGGGAGAGAAGCCUGGAUGACCCCAGGUAUUCUAAUGUUAGAAACACCUACGUGACUCCAGGCCUCCUAAUGGUGGAGACUCCCAGCCUACCCCAGGCAUUCUCUUGUGAGAGACUUCUGGCUGACCCCAGGCAGUCUAUUUAUGGAGACACCUGGGAGACCCCAGGCAUUUUAAUGGGAGAGACUCCUGGCUGAAUCCA